GACGAACGCUGGCGGCGUGCCUAAUACAUGCAAGUCGAACGAGAGCGACCGGUGCUUGCACUGGUCAAUCUAGUGGCGAACGGGUGAGUAACACGUGGGUAACCUGCCCAUCAGAGGGGGAUAACAUCCGGAAACGGAUGCUAAAACCGCAUAGGUCUUCGAACCGCAUGGUUUGAAGAGGAAAAGAGGCGCAAGCUUCUGCUGAUGGAUGGACCCGCGGUGCAUUAGCUAGUUGGUGAGGUAACGGCUCACCAAGGCCGUGAUGCAUAGCCGACCUGAGAGGGUGAUCGGCCACAUUGGGACUGAGACACGGCCCAAACUCCUACGGGAGGCAGCAGUAGGGAAUCUUCCGCAAUGGACGCAAGUCUGACGGAGCAACGCCGCGUGAGUGAAGAAGGUUUUCGGAUCGUAAAACUCUGUUGUUAGAGAAGAGCAAGUGCUAGAGUAACUGUUAGCGCCUUGACGGUAUCUAACCAGAAAGCCACGGCUAACUACGUGCCAGCAGCCGCGGUAAUACGUAGGUGGCAAGCGUUGUCCGGAUUUAUUGGGCGUAAAGCGAGCGCAGGCGGUUCCUUAAGUCUGAUGUGAAAGCCCCCGGCUCAACCGGGGAGGGUCAUUGGAAACUGGGGAACUUGAGUGCAGAAGAGGAGAGUGGAAUUCCAUGUGUAGCGGUGAAAUGCGUAGAUAUAUGGAGGAACACCAGUGGCGAAGGCGACUCUCUGGUCUGUAACUGACGCUGAGGCUCGAAAGCGUGGGUAGCAAACAGG
rnacentral:rRNA from 1 species